AGAGUUUGAUCCUGGCUCAGGACGAACGCUGGCGGCGUGCUUAACACAUGCAAGUCGGACGAGAUGAUUUAGAAGCUUGCUUUUAAAGAGUCGAGUGGCAAACGGGUGAGUAACGCGUAGACAACCUGCCUUUGAGAUGGGGACAACAGUCCGAAAGGACUGCUAAUACCGAAUGUUGUAACUCCUUCGCAUGAAAGAGAUACUAAAGAUGGCCUCUUCUUGUAAGCUAUCGCUCAAAGAUGGGUCUGCGUCUGAUUAGCUAGUUGGCGGGGUAAAGGCCCACCAAGGCGACGAUCAGUAGCCGGUCUGAGAGGAUGAACGGCCACUUGGAACUGANACANGGCCAAACUCCUACGGGAGGNAGCGGGGGGAANCUUCCNCAAUGGGCGCAGCCUGGCNGANCACCCCCCCUGGGUNAAGAAGGUUCGGNUCUAAAGCCCUGUUGCNGGGNCNAANG
rnacentral:rRNA from 1 species